rnacentral:rRNA from 1 species
GACGAACGCUGGCGGCGUGCUUAACACAUGCAAGUCGAACGGACAGGCCCUGCUCUUGUGGGGUGCUCGAGUGCCGAACGGGUGAGUAACACGUGAGUAACAUGUCCUUGUCUUUCGGAUAACUUCAGGAAACUGGGGCUAAUACCCGAUAGGAGCUCCUGCUGCACGGGGGGGGUUGGAAAGUUUCGGCGGUUGGGGCUGGACUCGCGGGUCAUCAGCUGGUUGGUCGGGUAGUGAAUUACCAGGUCUUUGACGGGUAGCCGGCCUGAGAGGGUGACCGGCGACCUUGGGACUGCGAUACGGCCCAGACUGCUACGGGAGGCAGCAGUGGGGAGUAUUGCGCAGUGGGCGGAAGCCAGAUGCAGCAACGCCGCGUGCGGGAUGACGGCUUUCGGGUGGAAAACCGCUGUCGCCGGUGACGAAGCGUGAGUGACGGUAAUGGGUAAGGAAGCACCGGCUAACUACGUG